UGCCAGACUCCUACGGGAGGCAGCAGUGGGGAAUAUUGCACAAUGGGGGAAACCCUGAUGCAGCAACGCCGCGUGGGUGAAGAAGUAUUUCGGUAUGUAAAGCCCUAUCAGCAGGGAAGAGAAUGACGGUACCUGACUAAGAAGCCCCGGCUAACUACGUGCCAGCAGCCGCGGUAAUACGUAGGGGGCAAGCGUUAUCCGGAUUUACUGGGUGUAAAGGGAGCGUAGACGGUCGUGCAAGUCUGAAGUGAAAGCCCGCGGCUCAACUGCGGAACGGCUUUGGAAACUGUGUAACUGGAGUGCUGGAGAGGUAAGCGGAAUUCCUGGUGUAGCGGUGAAAUGCGUAGAGAUCAGGAGGAACACCGGCGGCGAAGGCGGCCUGCUGGACGGCGACUGACGUUGAGGCCCGAAAGCGUGGGGAGCAAACAGGAUUAGAUACCCGGGUAAAG
rnacentral:rRNA from 1 species